rnacentral:lncRNA from 1 species
GCCAGGGAGAACAGCAGCCUUUGAGUGGAAGUUGGACCAGCCCUCAGCUCCCUUCGAGGACACAGUCUGUUAGGUCACCCACACCUUAUAAAAAGCAGCUUAAUGAGGAACUCCAGCGGCGCUCUUCAGCAUUAGACACAAGAAGGAAAGCAGAACCUACCUUUGGAGGUCAUGACCCUCGUACAGCUGUUCAGCUUCGAAGCCUCAGCACAGUAUUAAAACGCCUCAAGGAAAUCAUGGAGGGGAAAAGCCAGGAUAGUGACCUGAAACAAUACUGGAUGCCAGAUAGCCAAUGUAAAGAGUGCUAUGACUGUAGUGAGAAAUUUACAACCUUUAGGCGCAGACACCAUUGCCGACUAUGUGGGCAGAUUUUCUGCAGUCGUUGCUGUAAUCAAGAAAUCCCUGGAAAAUUUAUGGGCUAUACAGACAGUUUCGCUUUUAUUGCCCAGGCUGGAGUGCAGUGGCACAGUCUUGGCUCACUGCAACCUCUGCCUCCCAGGUUCAAGCGAUU